CCACACCACUGUAUGGUUAAUUUUUUUAAAAAAUGGUGUGUGAUGGCUGCAAACAGCAGCCUCCUCCUCAGUGUUCACACGCAGCUUGUCACUUGUACAGGUUGCUCUAGGGGACCUUUGAAGACAAGC
rnacentral:snoRNA from 1 species